AGUGAACGCUGGCGGCAGGCCUAACACAUGCAAGUCGAGCGGCAGCGGGUCCUUCGGGAUGCCGGCGAGCGGCGGACGGGUGAGGAACGCGUCGGAAUCUGCCUUUUUGUGGGGGAUAACGUAGGGAAACUUACGCUAAUACCGCAUACGACCUACGGGUGAAAGUGGGGGACCGCAAGGCCUCACGCAGAAAGAUGAGCCGACGCCGGAUUAGCUAGUUGGCGGGGUAAAGGCCCACCAAGGCGACGAUCCGUAGCUGGUCGGAGAGGAUGAGCAGCAACGCUGGAACUGAGACACGGGCCAGACUCCUACGGGAGGCAGCAGUGGGGAAUAUUGGACAAUGGGCGCAAGCCUGAUCCAGCCAUGCCGCGUGUGUGAAGAAGGCCUUCGGGUUGUAAAGCACUUUUGUCCGGAAAGAAAUCCAAUCGAUUAAUACUCGGUUGGGAUGACGGUACCGGAAGAAUAAGCACCGGCUAACUUCGUGCCAGCCGCCGCCGUAAGAC
rnacentral:rRNA from 1 species